rnacentral:rRNA from 1 species
UACGUAGGGGGCAAGCGUUGUCCGGAAUCAUUGGGCGUAAAGAGCGUGUAGGCGGCUCGAUAAGUCUGCUGUGAAAGUCCAGGGCUCAACCCUGGAAGGCCGGUGGAAACUGUCAGGCUAGAGCACGGUAGAGGCAGGUGGGAAUUCCCCGGUGUAGCGGUGGAAUGCGUAGAUAUCUGGAGGAACACCGGUGGCGAAGGCGGCAUCCUGGACCGAUACUGACGCUGAGGAGCGAAAGCCAGGGGGAGCAAACGGG